rnacentral:misc_RNA from 1 species
ACCCUUGUGGAGGAGGACGCCGAAGGUGGGGCUAAUGACUGGGGUGAAGUCGUAACAAGGUAGCCGUACCGGAAGGUGCGGCUGGAUCACCUCCUAACAGGGAGACAACAAAAUGUUUAAUAUUAUUAUUUUGUCACCUUAGGUCGAUCGGUAUCUCACGUUCUUAAUUUUAUUAAGAAUUUCAUUUCCUAAGUUUUUCUAGGUCACACCCAUUAUUUUUCCUGGGCCAUUAGCUCAGGUGGUUAGAGCGCACCCCUGAUAAGGGUGAGGUCCCUGGUUCAAGUCCAGGAUGGCCCAUAUCUCUAUGUUGGGGGUAUAGCUCAGUUGGUAGAGCGCCUGCUUUGCAAGCAGGAUGUCAGCGGUUCGAGUCCGCUUACCUCCACUGAUUACCACCUCUUUCAUAAUCUGUAGAAAGGAAAGUUUUGAGUUGUGAUCAAAUUCUGAACGAAUCUAGCUUCCUAAUGAAAUCAUUAAGAUGCUGGACUCAUUGAAUUAAUUUCAUUGUUUUCAGAGAACCUUGACAACUGCAUAGAUUUUUUUUAAAGACAAUAAGCAUCUUUAAUGAUGCAGAUUUAUUAUUUGUGCGAAUGCAUUAAUAACAAUUCUAUUAAGCUGAUGCUUCAAUUUUGAAGUUAUUGGUCAAGCUACAAAGGGCUCACGGAGGAUACCUAGGCACACAGAGGC